rnacentral:miRNA from 1 species
AUCCAAAUCACCAGGGAUCUUAAUAUGCAGAUUGUGAUCCAAUAUAUCUGUAGUGGAGCCUGAGAUUCUGCAUUUCUCACAAGCUCCCAGGUGCUACUGCU